rnacentral:sRNA from 1 species
UAACAACAAGUAAACAUAUAAACAAGUAGACAUAUAAAAACAUAU